CCGUGCUAGGCGGGGCACUAGGGGUGCCUUGUACUCGAAAUCCUCUUGAUGCGGGGCCGAAUUCCCGCCCGAGGGUGAGUGUGUAUCGGGUCAGCACCGGGAUCGGUCGGCGUUGACGACCGGGUCCUGCAGCGGCGGAACACGCGUGAACCGGGUCAGAUCCGAAAGGAAGCAGCCCUAAGCGGGUCGUCCCGGGUGUUGCAGGGGUGCCCGGUUCGAGCCGACCAUUCCCGGCGGCGCCGGUACACGCCAUUCGACGGCGGGUGCACGG
rnacentral:SRP_RNA from 1 species